rnacentral:misc_RNA from 1 species
GAUGAAGAACGCAGCGAAAUGCGAUAAGUAAUGUGAAUUGCAGAAUUCAGUGAAUCAUCGAAUCUUUGAACGCACAUUGCGCCCGCCAGCAUUCUGGCGGGCAUGCCUGUUCGAGCGUCAUUUCAACCCUCGAGCCCCCCCGGGGGCCUCGGUGUUGGGGGACGGCACACCAGCCGCCCCCGAAAUGCAGUGGCGACCUCGCCGCAGCCUCCCCUGCGUAGUAGCACACACCUCGCACCGGAGCGCGGAGACGGUCACGCCGUAAAACGCCCAACUUCUUAGAGUUGACCUCGGAUCAGGUAGGAAUACCUGCUGAACUUAAGCAUAUCAAUAAGCGGAGGA